CCUACGGGAGGCUGCAGUGGGGAAUAUUGCACAAUGGGCGCAAGCCUGAUGCAGCCAUGCCGCGUGUGUGAAGAAGGCCUUCGGGUUGUAAAGCACUUUCAGUGGGGAGGAAGGCGGUGAGGUUAAUAACCUCAUCGAUUGACGUUACCCGCAGAAGAAGCACCGGCUAACUCCGUGCCAGCAGCCGCGGUAAUACGGAGGGUGCAAGCGUUAAUCGGAAUUACUGGGCGUAAAGCGCACGCAGGCGGUCUGUCAAGUCGGAUGUGAAAUCCCCGGGCUCAACCUGGGAACUGCAUUCGAAACUGGCAGGCUAGAGUCUUGUAGAGGGGGGUAGAAUUCCAGGUGUAGCGGUGAAAUGCGUAGAGAUCUGGAGGAAUACCGGUGGCGAAGGCGGCCCCCUGGACAAAGACUGACGCUCAGGUGCGAAAGCGUGGGGAGCAAACAGGAUUAGAUACCCUUGUAGUC
rnacentral:rRNA from 1 species